UCUCCGUUGGUGAACCAGCGGAGGGAUCAUUACCGAGUGCAAACUCAUAACCCUUUGUGAACCUAUAUCUGUUGCUUCGGCGGCUCGCUCUCGGGCGGGCCCGCCGGUAAUAUCAGUAUCUCUGUUUGAACCCGACGAUACUUCUGAGUGUUCUUAGCGAACAGUUAAAACUUUUAACAACGGAUCUCUUGGCUCUA
rnacentral:misc_RNA from 1 species